UAAGUGAAGAGUUUGAUCCUGGCUCAGAGUGAACGCUGGCGGUAGGCCUAACACAUGCAAGUCGAACGGCAGCACAGGAGAGCUUGCUCUCUGGGUGGCGAGUGGCGGACGGGUGAGGAAUACAUCGGAAUCUACCCUGUCGUGGGGGAUAACGUAGGGAAACUUACGCUAAUACCGCAUACGACCUUAGGGUGAAAGUAGGGGAUCGCAAGACCUUACGCGAUUGGAUGAGCCGAUGUCGGAUUAGCUUGUUGGCGGGGUAAAAGCCCACCAAGGCGACGAUCCGUAGCUGGUCUGAGAGGAUGAUCAGCCACACUGGAACUGAGACACGGUCCAGACUCCUACGGGAGGCAGCAGUGGGGAAUAUUGGACAAUGGGCGCAAGCCUGAUCCAGCCAUGCCGCGUGUGUGAAGAAGGCCUUCGGGUUGUAAAGCACUUUUGUACGGGAAGAAAAGC
rnacentral:rRNA from 1 species